AGGAGAGUGGGAGAGCACCCAGGUCCAGAGCAUCUGGGGGAGGGUAUGAGAGCAUCCAGGACCAGAGCAUCCUGGGAGGAGAGUGGGAGAGCACCCAGGUCCAGAGCAUCUGGGGGAGGGUAUGAGAGCAUCCAGGACCAGAGCAUCCUGGGAGGAGAGUGGGAGAGCACCCAGGUCCAGAGCAUCUGGGGGAGGGUAUGAGAGCAUCCAGGACCAGAGCAUCCUGGGAGGAGAGUGGGAGAGCACCCAGGACCAGAGCAUCCUGGGAGGAGAGUAGGAGAGCACCCAGGUCCAGAGCAUCUGGGGGAGGGUAUGAGAGCAUCCAGGACCAGAGCAUCCUGGGAGGAGAGUGGGAGAGCACCCAGGACCAGAGCAUCUGGGGGAGGGUAUGAGGCUCUGGGCUGGUUGGAGCCUCCUUCCAGAGCCAGAUUUUCUGCCUUCAUUAACAAGCACAGGAGGCUGCCCUUUCCUGGCAGGGGCCAGGGAGGGGAAGGCAGAGGGAACAGGGAGGGGUGAGGAGCGGGGCCACCCAGUGAUCCUCUCCCCGGGACCAUGGGAGCUGCGUCCUGACUCCCUGUGGUCAGGAGAGGGUCACUGGCUCCAGAGAGCUCCCUUCAGGGAUGGCUGCGGUCCGCGGGCUGCUCCUGGGGCUGGCAGCCCUUUCCUCCUGCUCCUGGAGGCGGCUCCUGGGGGCCCUUGGCGGGUCCCCAAGAUGGCCAGCGCCCAGCCCAUCCUCCUGGCCCCGGGUCGGGUUAGGAGCCUCCCUGAGGCUGGGCUUCCCCAGGACCAGGGCCUGGGGGCACAAUCGUUUCCCUCAGCGGAGCCUCCCCAAGCCCCCACCCCCCCUCACUUACGG